AUGGGGGUGGAGAUGGAGAGAGCAAAAUCUGCCCCCAACCUGCUCUGUUGCCAUCCUAAGUGCCUUAUAAAUUUGUAAUCUUGUGGCUUUUAUUCUAUUUGGAUAUUCUUCCAGUUUCUACUUUAUGAUUUCCUUGUUCUGUGUUAGAAGAAAAAUGUAGUUUACAUGGCUUUGGUGGGAUCGUUUCCAUUUAACUCUUUCCUAUCAGGAGUACUUUCUUGUGUAGGAACUGCUGUUCUGGCUGUUUGUCUCCGGAUCCAAGUGAAUAAAGAGAAUAAGGAAUUCAAGGUAAAAAUACUUUUCUUGUUUAUUUGAUUUUUUAUUUGACAUUUAAAUUGAAAAAUCUGUUAUUACUCAUGUGAGUUGCAACCCAUGAUAUUUUUAGGUUUGCUUUCUUUUAUUCACCGUGUUAUAUUUCGACAAUGUGGCAAGAUGAUGUAGUUUCAAACUUAGAUCUCUACAUCUUUAACAUGACAAAACAAAGGAACAAGGAA